rnacentral:rRNA from 1 species
GACGAACGCUGGCGGCGUGCUUAACACAUGCAAGUCGAACGGAAAGGCCCUGCUUUUGUGGGGUGCUCGAGUGGCGAACGGGUGAGUAACACUUGAGUAACCUGCCCUUGACUUUGGGAUAACUUCAGGAAACUGGGGCUAAUACCGGAUAGGAGCUCCUGCUGCAUGGUGGGGGUUGGAAAGUUUCGGCGGUUGGGGAUGGACUCGCGGCUUAUCAGCUUGUUGGUGGGGUAGUGGCUUACCAAGGCUUUGACGGGUAGCCGGCCUGAGAGGGUGACCGGCAACAUUGGGAAAGAGAUACGGCCCAGACUCCUACGGGAGGCAGCAGAGGGGAAUAUUGCACAAUGGGGGGAAGCCUGAUGCAGCAACGCCGCGUGAGGGAUGACGGCCUUCGGGUUGUAAACCGCUUACGCCUGUGACGAAGCGUGAGUGAAGGUAAUGGGUAAAGAAGCACCGGCUAACUACGUG